rnacentral:lncRNA from 1 species
CCACUGCCCACAGUUCCGUGAACGGGAGAGUGUGGUGCCCUGUGGUUUUUUCACUCCCAUAGCUUGCCAAGCAGGAGCGAGUGUUACACCUGCUGGUAGAUGUGUUUCUUGUCCCACAACCAGGAGGAAUGAGGUGUGCAGACACUGGAGAAUGAACAAGGCAGAGAAGAAUUUUAUUGAGUGACAGAAGAGCUCUCGAAAAUGAGAGGGAACCCAAACUGGGUAGCCCUCUGUGUGAGAGAGGGCCCGAAAGCAGGCACUAAUUGUAGCUGUUGUUUUGACCACUUUGAUUUUAAACCUUUAUACUGGAGGAUUCAG